rnacentral:rRNA from 1 species
UACGUAGGGUGCAAGCGUUAAUCGGAAUUACUGGGCGUAAAGCGUGCGCAGGCGGUUUUGUAAGUCAGAUGUGAAAUCCCCCGGGCUUAACCUGGGAACUGCGUUUGAAACUACAAGGCUAGAGUGUGGCAGAGGGGGGUGGAAUUCCACGUGUAGCAGUGAAAUGCGUAGAGAUGUGGAGGAACACCAAUUGCGAAGGCAGCUCGCUGGGACGUUACUGACGCUGAGACGCGAAAGCGUGGGGAGCAAACAGG